AUAUGGUAGUCUGUUAGUAUAGUUGAAGGAUUUGGAAAAUUCCGCUAAAGAGGGUGAAAGCCCCGUAGACGAAAUGCUGACAACACCUAGGAGGAUCCUGAGUACGGCGGAACACGAGAAAUUCCGUCGGAAUCCGCGGGGACCAUCCCGCAAGGCUAAAUACUCCCUAGUGACCGAUAGUGAACCAGUACCGUGAGGGAAAGGUGAAAAGCACCCCGGAAGGGGAGUGAAAUAGAUCCUGAAACCGUGUGCCUACAACAAGUCAAAGCUCGUUAAUGAGUGAUGGCGUGCCUUUUGUAGAAUGAACCGGCGAGUUACGAUUGCAUGCGAGGUUAAGUCGAAGAGACGGAGCCGCAGCGAAAGCGAGUCUGAAUAGGGCGAAUGAGUAUGUAGUCGUAGACCCGAAACCAUGUGAUCUACCCAUGUCCAGGUUGAAGGUGCGGUAAAACGCACUGGAGGACCGAACCCACGUACGUUGAAAAGUGCGGGGAUGAGGUGUGGGUAGCGGAGAAAUUCCAAACGAACUUGGAGAUAGCUGGUUCUCUCCGAAAUAGCUUUAGGGCUAGCCUCGGAAUUGAGAAUGAUGGAGGUAGAGCACUGUUUGGACUAGGGGCCCAUCUCGGGUUACCGAAUUCAGAUAAACUCCGAAUGCCAUUCAUUUAUAUCCGGGAGUCAGACUGCGAGUGAUAAGAUCCGUAGUCGAAAGGGAAACAGCCCAGACCACCAGCUAAGGUCCCAAAAUAUAUGUUAAGUGGAAAAGGAUGUGGGGUUGCACAGACAACUAGGAUGUUGGCUUAGAAGCAGCCACCAUUUAAAGAGUGCGUAAUAGCUCACUAGUCGAGUGACCCUGCGCCGAAAAUGUACCGGGGCUAAACAUAUUACCGAAGCUGUGGACUACACCAUUAGGUGUAGUGGUAGGAGAGCGUUCUAAGGGCGUUGAAGGUCGAUCGUGAGGACGGCUGGAGCGCUUAGAAGUGAGAAUGCCGGUAUGAGUAGCGAAAGACAGGUGAGAAUCCUGUCCACCGUAUGACUAAGGUUUCCUGGGGAAGGCUCGUCCGCCCAGGGUUAGUCGGGACCUAAGCCGAGGCCGAUAGGCGUAGGCGAUGGACAACAGGUUGAUAUUCCU
rnacentral:rRNA from 1 species